rnacentral:rRNA from 1 species
ACCUAGAAUGAAAAAGUAAAGCUUGAAUAUUAAUAGUUAUUUUCUUUAAAAUCAAAGAAUUUGGCGGUAGUUUAGUCUUGUUAGAGGAACCUGUUUUAUAAACGAUAAAUCACGCAAUAUCUUACUUGUUUUGGUAAAUAUCAGUUUGUAUACCGUCAUUAUUAAAUAAUUUUGGAAAAAGAAAUUAUUGGAAUUAAUUGUUUAAAUUUAAAUAUAUUAGAUCAAGGUGCAGCUUAUAAACAAGUAAAAAUGGGUUACAAUAAUAUUAAUUAAAUGAAUAAUAAAAAGAAUAAAUUUGUUUGAAGGUGGAUUUAAUUGUAAAAAUGGUUUAAUAAGCCAUUUUGAUAUAAGCUCUAAAUUAUGUACAUAUCGCCCGUCGCUUUCACUUAAAAU